rnacentral:rRNA from 1 species
GAUGAACGCUGGCGGCGUGCCUAAUACAUGCAAGUCGAACGCAUUGAGAGAAGUGCUUGCACUUUUCAAUUUGAGUGGCGAACGGGUGAGUAACACGUGGGCAACCUACCUGAUAGCGGGGGAUAACGAGUGGAAACAUUCGCUAAUACCGCAUAACAACAGAGAAGGCAUCGUCUUUCUUUAAACGGCGCUUUCAAGCGUCACUAUAAGAUGGACCCGCGGUGCAUUAGGUAGUUGGUGGGGUGAAGGCCUACCAAGACGAUGAUGCAUAGCUGAGUUGAGAGACUGAUCGGCCACACUGGGACUGAGACACGGCCCAAACUCCUACGGGAGGCAGCAGUAGGGAAUCUUCCACAAUGGACGAAAGUCUGAUGGAGCAACGCCGCGUGUGUGAUGAAGGCUUUCGGGUCGUAAAGCACUGUUGUAUGGGAAGAAAUGCUAGGCUAGGAAAUGAGCUUAGUUUGACGGUACCAUACCAGAAAGGGACGGCUAAAUACGUGCCAGCCGCCGCCGUAA